rnacentral:pre_miRNA from 1 species
GUGAGCUAGGAAGAGGGAGAAAUACUCUAAGAGCGGUGAGAAUGGGAACACGGAGGAAACCCUGACCAGAGGUGGAUAUCUGCCUCAGUGUUUCCCCUUGCCUCCCAUUCCUAUUGUUCUUAGGUUCUCCUUCCCCUUCCUUUUACCU